UACGGAGGGUGCAAGCGUUAUCCGGAUUCACUGGGUUUAAAGGGUGCGUAGGUGGGCAAGUAAGUCAGUGGUGAAAUCUCCGGGCUUAACCCGGAAACUGCCAUUGAUACUAUUUGUCUUGAAUACUGUGGAGGUCAGCGGAAUAUGUCAUGUAGCGGUGAAAUGCUUAGAUAUGACAUAGAACACCAAUUGCGAAGGCAGCUGGCUACACAAAUAUUGACACUGAGGCAACGAAAGCGUGGGGAUCAA
rnacentral:rRNA from 1 species